GGGGCGACCAGCCACACUGGGACUGAAACACGGCCCAGACUCCUACGGGAGGCAGCAGUGGGGAAUUUUGGACAAUGGGCGAAAGCCUGAUCCAGCCAUGCCGCGUGCAGGAUGAAGGCCUUCGGGUUGUAAACUGCUUUUGUACGGAACGAAACGGCCUUUUCUAAUAAAGAGGGCUAAUGACGGUACCGUAAGAAUAAGCACCGGCUAACUACGUGCCAGCAGCCGCGGUAAUACGUAGGGUGCAAGCGUUAAUCGGAAUUACUGGGCGUAAAGCGUGCGCAGGCGGUUAUGUAAGACAGUUGUGAAAUCCCCGGGCUCAACCUGGGAACUGCAUCUGUGACUGCAUAGCUAGAGUACGGUAGAGGGGGAUGGAAUUCCGCGUGUAGCAGUGAAAUGCGUAGAUAUGCGGAGGAACACCGAUGGCGAAGGCAAUCCCCUGGACCUGUACUGACGCUCAUGCACGAAAGCGUGGGGAGCAAACAGG
rnacentral:rRNA from 1 species